AGUGAACGCUGGCGGUAGGCCUAACACAUGCAAGUCGAACGGCAGCACAGUAAGAGCUUGCUCUUACGGGUGGCGAGUGGCGGACGGGUGAGGAAUACAUCGGAAUCUACUUUUUCGUGGGGGAUAACGUAGGGAAACUUACGCUAAUACCGCAUACGACCUACGGGUGAAAGCAGGGGAUCUUCGGACCUUGCGCGAUUGAAUGAGCCGAUGUCGGAUUAGCUAGUUGGCGGGGUAAAGGCCCACCAAGGCGACGAUCCGUAGCUGGUCCGAGAGGAUGAUCAGCCACACUGGAACUGAGACACGGUCCAGACUCCUACGGGAGGCAGCAGUGGGGAAUAUUGGACAAUGGGCGCAAGCCUGAUCCAGCCAUACCGCGUGGGUGAAGAAGGCCUUCGGGUUGUAAAGCCCUCUUGUUGGGAAAGAAAAGCAGCAGGUUAAUACCCCGCUGUUCUGACGGUACCCAAAGAAUAAGCACCGGCUAACUUCGUG
rnacentral:rRNA from 1 species